UACGAAGGGGGGCGAGCGUUUGUUCGGAUUUACUGGGCGUAAAGAGCGCGCAGGCGGUCGGAUAAGUCGAAUGUGAAAGCCCCCGGCUUAACUGGGGAGGGUCAUUCGAUACUGUUCGACUGGAAGGCAGGAGAGGGAAGCGGAAUUCCCGGUGUAGUGGUGAAAUGCGUAGAUAUCGGGAGGAACACCAGUGGCGAAGGCGGCUUCCUGGCCUGUUCUUGACGCUGAGGCGCGAAAGCUAGGGGAGCAAACGGG
rnacentral:rRNA from 1 species